rnacentral:rRNA from 1 species
CCAAAAACGGACCAUCCUCCUUUUUAGAAAAAUUACCUACUAAACUUGAUAGGCAAAAUUGUUACUAGAUUAAAAGAUUAUGGAAACUAAAGUAAACCCAGUCUAAAGUCUUAAAAAAUAUAUCAAUAUAUAUUUAGUAUUUCUAGGUAUUAAGGUUAAUACGGUGCCAGCAACCGCGGUCAAACCUUAUUAAUAAAUAAUUUAUAAUAAUCUAUUUAUAAAAUAAUAUGUGCUUAUAUAGUGUAUAGUAAAAUGUUACUAUAUCAAAAAAGUUAAGUGUAUUUUCCUAUACGCCAAAAUAAGGUAAAAAACUAGGAUUAGAUACCCUAUUAUUCUUAAUGAAAAAGACCAUAGAUUGAGGAGUAAAAUUAUUAUAAACUCAAAAGUCAUGGCGGCUGUUAUGAUUUAUCAGGGGAGCUUACCAAGUAAUUGAUAACCACCAAGAUAUUCUUCUUAAGUUAAAAAGUUUGUAUGCCGUCGUCUUAAAUUUUUCAGAGAAAAAUUUUUUUUUGCCUAAGAGAGGCGAGAAGACAGAUCAAGGUGCAGCUGAUACUAGAGAUUUAAGGCGAGCUACAGUAACUAAAUAUUCACCCAUGCGACUUAAAAAUAUCGCUGAAGUUGGACUUGAAAGUAAGUCAUAAUAAAAAUCAAUAACUGAAUAGCUUAUUAAUAGUGC